CACAUACACACACUCAAAUUUACACAAAAACACACACAUACACAUACACAGUCAUGCUAAAUAUUCAUUUGCUGUUCUCGUCUCUGAGAACUGAAUUAAUUUAAUUUCUGCUUAGCUUUGUUCACACUAAGACGCCAAUGCUGGACUCAUGAGCUUAUAUAUCUGUGUUAGUGUGUAUGUGUGUGUAAUAUUUUUUACACAAUCCUCUGUCUUUGUUUCAGUCUAAUGAGGAAAAACACACAGCAGCAGCAGCAGAGCCCAACAAUGAGGUAUUGUUCUAUUUUACCAUGGCAACAGAUUAUCCUUGCAUCUAAUUGGCUGAGGGAUUUUAUACUUUGAUUUUCUUGAAUCGGUGUCAGAGUAAGUCCAGUCUGUAUGUUGUGGGAGAAAAUGACUUUUUUUGUGUGGCAGUGUUUAACGUUCUUCCACCAUCACUAUUGAAAAACAGUAUGCACAGUCAUGUCAAAUAUUGGCCAAAAUUAUUCAUUUUUUCAAUCAAUUUAAGUCAAAUCUUGGAUGGUACCCCUCUCCCCUUUUUGAUUCAAAAGCUAGAUAAAGUUGGAUUACAUUUAAGGAGGAAUAAUUUUGAUGAAGCAAAACCACUUAAUUUCAGUCAAGCUCAGAAAAGCCGUCGGCAUUUCUAGGUCCUUUUUUUAUCCUCUACAGAAUGAUUUCAGUUUUAAAUGCAGUGCAGCCCGAGGGGUCAAGGGUCACAGGCAUUCAGUGUUGCUUUUUGGCCUUGCCGCCCACGUGCAGAGAUUUUCUGGAUUCCUUUAAAUCUUUUAAUGACAUGUUGUAGACUGCAGAUGAUGAAAUCCUUGAAUUCUUGAAACAUUGAGAAAAACUUUGUUUUACAAGGGUUGGAAUAUUUGCGGACACAUUUGUUCACAAAGUGGUGAUGAUUCAAAUGGUUAAGUGAUCCAAAUAUGUGUUUUUUCAGCAGUCCUUUAAAGGGAUAUUCCGGGGUCAGACACCCCCUCAAGAAAUGAAUGUUGCUGACUGCUUGCUUCUCUAGUUAUACCAAUUUUAGUAACGACCGCAUGAUAGCAAUACACAGCGGUCUGAGGAGCCAUAAACAAACCUCAACCAAAACGCUACUCUGUAGCCACAAAUAAUGCUCAGAACAGCACCUAACUUCAUCAACAGUACAUAUAGGGUCCCAGCCAUAGCACUACCCACCAAACAUCUUUUUAACUUUGGCUAAUUUCUUUAGCAAAAAGACUAAAUGCAACUUACCUACUCGCUUCCAGCAGCCACUUGUUUGUAGCGAGACCUCGGCCCAGUCCAUUAUGGACUGCUGUAGGGUGACACAGCUCAAGGAAGAACAUUUAUGAUCAUUUCUUUAUCAUUUCCUUUAAGUAAUAAUCAUCAUAUUAAUCAUUUUGCUUAGCAAACACGGUAGUUCUUCUGCCUUAGCGUCUCGGUCUGAUUGCAGUUCCAUGAAGAAAUGAUCAUAAAUGUUUUUCCUUUAGCUGCGUCACCCCGCUGUAGUCCGUAAUGGACUGGCCCAAGGUCUCGCUACAAACUAACGGCUUCUGGAAGAGAGUAGGUGAGUUGUGUUAAGUCCCUUUGCUAAAGAAAUUAGGCAAAGUUAAAAAGAUGUUUGGUGGCUAGUGCUGUGGCUGGGACUCUAUAUGUACUGUUGAUGAAGUUAGGUGCUGUUCUGAGCAUUAUUUGUGGCUAUAGAGUGGCGUUUUGGUUGAGUUUUGUUUUUGACUCCUCAGGCCGCUGUGUAUUGCUAUUGUGCGGUGGUCACUAAAAUUAGUAUAACUAGAGAAGCAAGCGGUCAGCAACAUUCAUCUCUCGCGGGGUUGUCUAACUCGGAUUUACGAUGUGUUUAAAUUGAAUUAAUUUUACGCAGGAAUAUCCCUUUAAGUGUGAUUAUAGACAAGUGCAUUUACUUUGUAUUGUUAACUAUAACAUCUGGUAUUACCUCUAAAAAAUGGUACUGCAGUCUGUACUCUUGACAGUUCCUUGAUACACCAACAUAACAAAACCAUUUCUGAACAGCUCUCUCAAAGAAAUACAAUUGUGUUUUUGUACAAAGUUACACAUUUGAUUUAUGAAAUCUUAAAACAGUUCCAGACUAAGUUCCUCUAGUAAUGAGCGUUGUGAACAGCAGUGAUUUGGAAACAUGUAAAUUUUAGAUGAAGAAAUAAUUGAGUCAUUUUGUUGAACAGUUGGAGUUCUUGAAUAAAGAUGGGGAUAUCAGGCAAAAAGACUGUUUCAUAUCUUUGGAAAAGUCAUUAAAUGUGUUCAUAACUGUGAGAAUACGACAAGUAAUUUGUAAUUAAAAAGAGCAAAUGUUAGAGAUAAUUAAUUUUCAUCUUUGAAACUAAAAUGGAGAGAGAAUUAAUUGUAAUGCUUCAUCACUGUGGAUAAUAACUUGAUAAUCUACUCAAAAUGAAAUUAAACCCUCAUCAGCACCUACAGGUGUUCCCCGACUGACUGAGGAAGACGUUCAAGAACAAAGUGAAAUUCAACAAAUGUUUCUGCAGCUGUUACACACCUGAGGAUUCAGUCACAGAAAUCCAAACAGGCGCCGAGGACGAGACGGAGUGCUGAAUAUUAAUGUGGUCAGUGUGUAUGCUCAGCACACACUCACACAAACUCUUCCUUACGCACAAAGGCUCAGGAACACUGACAAACACGCCUCUUAUCUUCUUCCCCCAAGAAAAUAGAUGAAACAUGAGAGGAUUUCUGAAACAGUUGGCGGCCACACUGAGAAAAAAAAACACACGUACACACUAAACACCAAACAAGGAGCUUUCAAAC